rnacentral:lncRNA from 1 species
CCUCGGCCAGGAUUGGUGGAGACCUGGACCCGAAUUCUUCUGGGUUGCUGGAAAGGGGCUCUGAGCUGGUGGCUGGCCAGGGAGCCACAUUGUCCAAACUCUUUCGGGGUCGGGGUUGAGGAAGUAUUUAAAUUUCUCUGCUCAGUCCCGAGGACUCCAGUCUUCUCUCCACUCGCCUAUAAGGUUUCUUCCCUUCAAAGUCGGUUUCACCUGUUGCCACGAGGCUUUCCUCAGGCUGUAUAUUAAACCCCUCGCAAGUGUGUGCCUUCAGCUCUGCAAUUAUCAGCUCCAGGAAGUCUGGGUCUGCCUGCUUUCCUCCAUGGGUAGCAUUCGUCAACUACCGGGAGUGGUUUUCUGAAGGCUGCAGAUAAACAAAGCCCUGUUUAGAGGAUUGGGCCGGGCCUGAGAAAGCUGGGCAAGGUAGGAACUGCUCAGGCUGGGAGAGCAGGAGAACAGGUUCUAGGGCAUUGUGGGUCUGGGGUUGGACGGAGCCAGCUAGCUCUGCAUGAUCUGGAGGAACAGGAGGAUGGUUUGUGCUCAGCUUGAGAAAAUCUACACACAAGCAUAACAUCGUUGUUUACUAGCGAUUGGGCUAGUGUCCUGGGUUCCACUAGGGUACUUCCAUGUGGCAUGUAAUGGAAUUCAAACAAUUCACUCCAUCCCCUCCGCAUUCCCCUCCCUCCCACACUCUUGCACUUUCUCCCCCCUAGACUUCAAAAUAUAAAAGAAAACACGAAAUUCUUGUCUUUCUUUUUUUUUUUGAGGGUGCCUUAUUUUGCCUAACAUAAUUUCCAUUUCUAUCCAUUGAAACUGAGUAAUUUCAUGGAG